rnacentral:rRNA from 1 species
CGGGGUGAGUAACACGUGGGCAACCUGCCCAAAAGAGGGGGAUAACACUUGGAAACAGGUGCUAAUACCGCAUAACCAUAGUUACCGCAUGGUAGCUAUGUAAAAGGUGGCUAUGCUACCGCUUUUGGAUGGGCCCGCGGCGCAUUAGCUAGUUGGUGGGGUAAAGGCUUACCAAGGCAAUGAUGCGUAGCCGAACUGAGAGGUUGAUCGGCCACAUUGGGACUGAGACACGGCCCAAACUCCUACGGGAGGCAGCAG